CUACGGGCUGCUGCAGGCGAGAAAACUUUGCAAUGUGCGAAAGCACGACAAGGUUAAUCCGAGUGGUUUCUGCUAAAGGAACCUUUUGUCGGUCCUAGAAACACCGAUGAAUAAGGGGUGGGCAAGUUCUGUGUCAGCCGCCGCGGUAAAACCAGCACCUCAAGUGGUCAGGAUGAUUAUUGGGCCUAAAUGCAUCCGUAGCCGGCUCUGUAAGUUUUCGGUUAAAUCUGUACGCUUAACGUACAGGCUGCCGGGAAUACUGCAUAGCUAGGGAGUGGGAGAGGUAGACGGUACUCGGUAGGAAGGGGUAAAAUCCUUUGAUCUAUUGAUGACCACCUGUGGCGAAGGCGGUCUACCAGAACACGUCCGACGGUGAGGGAUGAAAGCUGGGGGAGCAAACCGGAUUAGAUACCCCUGUAGUC
rnacentral:rRNA from 1 species